rnacentral:rRNA from 1 species
GAUGAACGCUGGCGGCGUGCCUAAUACAUGCAAGUCGAGCGAACAGACGAGGAGCUUGCUCCUCUGACGUUAGCGGCGGACGGGUGAGUAACACGUGGAUAACCUACCUAUAAGACUGGGAUAACUUCGGGAAACCGGAGCUAAUACCGGAUAAUAUAUUGAACCGCAUGGUUCAAUAGUGAAAGACGGUUUUGCUAUCACUUAUAGAUGGAUCCGCGCCGCAUUAGCUAGUUGGUAAGGUAACGGCUUACCAAGGCAGCGAUGCGUAGCCGACCUGAGAGGGUGAUCGGCCACACUGGAACUGAGACACGGUCCAGACUCCUACGGGAGGCAGCAGUAGGGAAUCUUCCGCAAUGGGCGAAAGCCUGACGGAGCAACGCCGCGUGAGUGAUGAAGGUCUUCGGAUCGUAAAACUCUGUUAUUAGGGAAGAACAAAUGUGUAAGUAACUAUGCACGUCUUGACGGUACCUAAUCAGAAAGCCACGGCUAACUACGUG